UAAAAGUGACAUAUCUAUGUAUUUAUAUUGAAUAAAUAUUUUUGAAACUUAAAAAAAAAGAGGCUCAAGUGAGGUCCCCUGCCCUUUCUACCCUGGCAGGAUGCAGCAAGAAGGUGACAUCCAUCUAUAAGGGACAGGCCCUCACCAGACACCGGGUCCGCUGACACACUGGUCUUGGACUUCCUAGCCUCCAGAACUGUGAGAAAUAAAUUUCUAUUGUUUACUACUUAGCCAGGUCUAAGGUAUUUUGCUAUGGCAGCCUGAAUGGUCUAAUACUUCACUGAAUGAAAUGUUGCCAAAGGCUGCAAACAACUACUUUAUUUAUCUAACAGAAAAUUACUUGCUGAAAUAUGGACCACUGAAAUCUUAUACUGCUAUCACAGUGAGUAACAGCAUUUAAAGGUCUUUAAAAACAAUCUCAGUCCUUUCCUAGCCUUAUUUUAGUUGUUUGCUGAAUCCCUACUUUAUCUCUCUAAUAAAUGAGCCCUUUUUUAGCAGUGAUGUUAACGUUAUCAAUUCAUCCUAAAACAGAGCCCCAUGCCUUAUUUGUUCUACUGUGACAUACAGCUGUUUGUAAGACAAUUUAUCAAUGUCAUGUCCAAAGAUUUUCGUAAAUUUUCACUUCAUUUAUUUUUAAGGUCAAUUUUCUUUCUUUUCCCCAUACAUAUGACCAUUUCCAAUAUAUUUUUUCACCUAAAAUAAAUGUGAUCCAUUUUAUGACUUUACAAUAGGCUCAGAGCUUAGAGAACCACGGAGAGCGCACUUUGUGAAAAAUAACCAACUGGAUGGCUCUGUUUCAUUGUUAAGGAGAUUAUGAAAUUCUUUGAAGAGAAAUGAAGCACUGAUGCUUACAAAAAAAUAUUUUGGGGAUGAGGAAGAGGAGACCAGAUUAGAUGAGGAAGAAGAGACGAGACCGGACAAGGAAAGGAGACCGGAUGUGGAAAAGGAAACCAGACCAAAAAAGGAGACAAGACUGGACGAGGAAUAGGAGACAAAACCAGAAGAGGAGACGAGACCAGACCAGGAAGAGGAGACCAGACCAAACAAGGAAGAAGAGACUAGACGGGCCGAGGAGACGAGACCAGAUGAGGAAGAGGAGACUAGAUGGGACGAGGAAGAGAGUGCUGAGUUCUUAAUGUGCAAUACCUCAUUCAGACCUCAUGAGCUAUCCUGUAAGAAAGGUGAAGAAAUACUUUACACCAUCUUCAUUGGAAAACCUAUUAUUUUCAGCCACCAAGGAGAAGGGCUGGAUUUUCCUGAGAAAAAAUUUGCCAACUACAUCUAUGGAAGACUUUUUCCUGGUUGCCUUCCUCUGUCAUCAUCCUCGGUGACAUCAACAUCUGACUGAGUGACCCAUCCAACAUCUUGACCAUACAGUUGAUUACCUGCCUCAGGAUCAAUGAUUUUUUUCUCUGUAUUUUAACUGAGCCACCUGUUCCCAUGGUUACAGCCUAGACCAGGAACUACACUAUCUCUGGUUUCAAGCAUCCCCACUCUGACCACCACCUACUGUCCUUUCAAUUCACUAGAAUAGUUCCACUGCAACAAUGUUCUGACCUCAUCAAGACCUCUCAUUCAUCGGUCCUAUCCUUUUCUCUUUUCAAACUCCCAUAUUCCUUCAUUUUCCUCCUAUCUUCAUUUUCUUUACUAUCUAGCUUAAAUUUCAUGUUCCAUCAUUAUAAUGGCUCCCUGGUAAAUACAAUCGAUUACCUCGUUCCUCUUUCUAUCUUACUCGCCUGGCAUAACCCUGACCUUGGUUGAGGGUAACUAAGUUCCAUUUUCUUAAACAAUUGAAAUAUAUAGGAGAAAAAUCGUACAUUUGAGUUGACUAGUUUCAUUUAAAAUCAUGACCAUAAACCUCAGGGCUCGCUCAAGACUGCCAGUAAUUCCACUGUUCCACGGUGUUUCCCUGUAUAAUGUUUUCCAAAUGUUAGUCAUUCUUUUAUCGCCUUCUAUGAUUUUUGCGCUGUAUCUGAAUACUACCUACAUAAUCACUUACUAAAUAAUUUAAAUUUAUCCAAAUGGAAAAUGUACCCACAUCCUAAACCUUGUCCUAGCUGGAGUAGGCAAACUGUGGCCCAUAGGCCAAAUCCAACCUUACUGCCUGUCCUGAUAGGACAAACAUUUUAAGCCUUUGCAGUAUCACUGCAAAAUGUUUUUCUCCCUCUUUUCAGUGACUCGAUUGGGGAAGCACUGACUUUUCUUGUGUUCAGGCUUCCAGUUGUUUGAGCCAAUGGGAGGCUCUGGCCAGAGAACAGAGGGCAGAAGGAGAGGGAAGUCAGGGUAUUCAUACCACCAAUUCUGUCCAGUAGUGGAUGAUUGACUGUGUUCUAUCAAAGCCCGCAGUUCUUCUCAAGCAGCUCUUUCCAUAUAACCACCCUCCCCCCCAAGUUCGAGUAACCAUUCCCUCCCCUAAGCUCUGGGAGUCUGUUCUGCAGUAUUUCUUGUUAGGCUUCCUAAAUCCUGACUAAAGUUUGUAAAUGAUCUCUUUAUUAUACUCUCUUUCUUGCACUAGCUUGCCCUUGCUCUUUCUUGCAGGGGUAGGGAGGGGUUUUGAACUACUUCUGAAUACACCAUAAUGUCAUGUUCUUAAUAACAAUAAACUACAUGAUAAAAGUAAGGGGAAAAAAACCCAAGUGCUUUGGAGAAAUAAUUUACCACACAAUAGCUCACACUGUGGCUAUGAAGACAACCCAAAUAUACAACUGUGUUCUAAAUUAUGUGAAGUGUCUAUAAAGAAUUCUAAAAUGGAAG